ensembl:lncRNA
GUGAGACUUGAUCUGUGGAGUCUGACUUUAAUGAAAUGGUGAGGAUUAAAAACUACCAUCCACCCCCACUGCAGGAGAGAGAUAGCCUUCUUAAUAUAAACUGUAUCAGUUUCUUUUUCUGUUGGCUAUGCCCAAAAGCAACUUGAAGAAGAAAAAGCUUAUUUUGACUUAUGGUUCCAGAGAGCUAGAGUCCAUAGCGGCAGGGAAGACAUGGCAGCAGUUGGCAGGAGCAAAAACCUGGCUAAUCACAUUUAUCCUUACACCAGGAAACAGAGAAAGCUAUAAUCAAAGCUCACCCACCACCAGUGACAUACUUCCUCCACAACCUUCUGAAACAGCGCCACCCACUGGGGAUCAAAUGUUCGAACAUGUGAGCCUGUGGUGGACAUCUCUUGUUCGGAACACUGAGGAGCUGAAGCUACCCUGCAACCUGCACUUUUCCAGAGGCGCUGACCAUGGCCUAAACAUGAGCUGAAGCCUUUUGGUUCCUGGCUUUAAAAUACCCUUGGAAAUUAGAGGAAUAAACAGACUCGACGAUCUGAAGGCUGAUACCGG